rnacentral:lncRNA from 1 species
GGAAGGAGGGCUUCCUUAGCUUCUUCUUGACUUUAAUGGCAAUGCCUGUGAAAUCUUAAAGGACUACACACUAUACUGAAAAUGCCUAGUGGAAAAAAGACGCCAUGACUAACUGAUUAAGAAUCCACAGCAGAGACACUUUUCAAAAGAAGACAUACAAGUGGCCAAGAAAUAAAUGAAAAGAUGUUCAACAUCACUAAUCAUCAGAGAAAUGCAAAUCAAGGCCACAAUGUGAAACCAUCUUAUAGCAGUCAGAAUGGUUAUUAUUAGAAAGUCAAAAAAACAGAUGCUGGCAAGGAUGUGGAGAAAAGGGAGGGUUAAUACACGAUUGGUGGUAAUGUAAAUUAGUUCUGACACUAUGCAGAGCAGUUUUGAUUCCUCAAAAAACAAAAAUGGAUCUACCAUUCAACCCAGUAAUCCCAUUCCUGGGUAUAUAACAAAAAGAAAAUAAAUUGUUCUACCAAAAAAAGA